rnacentral:lncRNA from 13 species
CUGGUUUGUUGUACUGACUUGAUAUUAGGUGGUUUGUCGUACUGACUGAUAUUAGGUGGUUUGUUGUACUGACUGAUAUUAGUUGUUUUUACUAACUGAUAUUAGUUAGUUUGUUGUACUAACUGAUAUGAUUUGUCGUACUGACUGAUAUUAGUUGGUUUGUCGUAUGGACUGAUAUUAGUUGAUUUGUCGUACUGACUGAUAUUAGGGGGUUUGUCGUACUGACUGAAAUUAGUUGGUUUGUCGUACUGACUGAAAUGGUUUGUCGUACUGACUGAUAUUAGAUGGUUUGUCGUACUGACUGAUAUUAGAUGGUUUGUCGUACUGACUGAUAUUAGUUGGUUUGUCGUACUGACUGAAAUGGUUUGUCGUACUGACUGAUAUUAGGUGGUUUGUCGUACUGACUGAAAUGGUUUGUCGUACUGACUGAUAU